AGAGUUUGAUCAUGGCUCAGAUUGAACGCUGGCGGCAUGCCUUACACAUGCAAGUCGAACGGCAGCACGAGAGCUUGCUCUUGGUGGCGAGUGGCGAACGGGUGAGUAAUAUAUCGGAACGUACCCUAGAGUGGGGGAUAACGUAGCGAAAGUUACGCUAAUACCGCAUAUGAUCUACGGAUGAAAGUGGGGGAUCGCAAGACCUCAUGCUCAUGGAGCGGCCGAUAUCUGAUUAGCUAGUUGGUGGGGUAAAAGCUCACCAAGGCGACGAUCAGUAGCUGGUCUGAGAGGACGACCAGCCACACUGGAACUGAGACACGGUCCAGACUCCUACGGGAGGCAGCAGUGGGGAAUUUUGGACAAUGGGCGCAAGCCUGAUCCAGCAAUGCCGCGUGAGUGAAGAAGGCCUUCGGGUUGUAAAGCUCUUUUGUCAGGGAAGAAACGGUGGACUCUAAUACAGAUCACUAAUGACGGUACCUGAAGAAUAAGCACCGGCUAACUACGUGCCAGCAGCCGCGGUAAUACGUAGGGUGCAAGCGUUAAUCGGAAUUACUGGGCGUAAAGCGUGCGCAGGCGGUUGUGCAAGACAGAUGUGAAAUCCCCGGGCUCAACCUGGGAAUUGCAUUUGUGACUGCACGGCUAGAGUGUGUCAGAGGGGGGUAGAAUUCCACGUGUAGCAGUGAAAUGCGUAGAGAUGUGGAGGAAUACCGAUGGCGAAGGCAGCCCCCUGGGAUAACACUGACGCUCAUGCACGAAAGCGUGGGGAGCAAACAGGAUUAGAUACCCUGGUAGUCCACGCCCUAAACGAUGUCUACUAGUUGUCGGGUCUUAAUUGACUUGGUAACGCAGCUAACGCGUGAAGUAGACCGCCUGGGGAGUACGGUCGCAAGAUUAAAACUCAAAGGAAUUGACGGGGACCCGCACAAGCGGUGGAUGAUGUGGAUUAAUUCGAUGCAACGCGAAAAACCUUACCUACCCUUGACAUGUCUGGAAUCCUUGAGAGAUCAGGGAGUGCUCGAAAGAGAAUCAGAACACAGGUGCUGCAUGGCUGUCGUCAGCUCGUGUCGUGAGAUGUUGGGUUAAGUCCCGCAACGAGCGCAACCCUUGUCAUUAGUUGCUACGAAAGGGCACUCUAAUGAGACUGCCGGUGACAAACCGGAGGAAGGUGGGGAUGACGUCAAGUCCUCAUGGCCCUUAUGGGUAGGGCUUCACACGUCAUACAAUGGUACAUACAGAGGGCCGCCAACCCGCGAGGGGGAGCUAAUCCCAGAAAGUGUAUCGUAGUCCGGAUUGUAGUCUGCAACUCGACUACAUGAAGUUGGAAUCGCUAGUAAUCGCGGAUCAGCAUGUCGCGGUGAAUACGUUCCCGGGUCUUGUACACACCGCCCGUCACACCAUGGGAGCGGGUUUCACCAGAAGUGGGUAGCCUAACCGCAAGGAGGGCGCUCACCACGGUGGGAUUCGUGACUGGGGUGAAGUCGUAACAAGGUA
rnacentral:rRNA from 1 species